rnacentral:lncRNA from 1 species
UUAUUUAUUUUCAAAAAGUAAUUUUAACUUCAAAUGGGACAGCGAGAGCGUACAUUCUGACUUAAAGCUAUAGGCCGAAUCAACAAUCACGAGAGUAUGAGAUAAAGCCUUUUAAAUAAAUAUUUUCUACUGAGAGAUAUUUGGCAUUUAAACUAUUCACCGGUGACUUAUCGAAUCCCUGACAAUUAGUGCGUUGCAUACUUAUUCCUUCCAUCAAUUCUUUCUUAAAACUAAAUUCCCCUUAGAUCUAAUAUUCUG